CAAGGAGAGGAAGAUGGCACAGCUGAGCUAUCCCUUCAACUGAAAGGAUUCAGCAGAUUCAUCGUUUCCAUCUCACUGCAACUUACUGUAGGAAAAGACAGUAAGAAGUGGAAUUUUAGGAUGCACAUAUUUACACAAUCCGAAUUACCAACAAGUCCAAAAGUGAACUUAAUGACUUAAUCCUGGGUGAGACGGCAGCACAAUCAGUUUCACUUUAAAAAAAAAAAAAAAAAAAAAACUUUCACAUGACAGAACAAACAAUGCAUAACAGCAACAUAGGGAAAGUCAUAGGAGUACAAUCGGUACUGCAUAUUAAAUCAUAAUAAAUAAGAAUCUAAUCUUAGACCAGCAAACAGGAGACAGACCUGCACCUCAGCUCACAUGAUAUUAGGCCUACAUUCUCCUCACUGACAAUCAAUAUCCUUAAAAAAAAAAAAAAAAAAAAAA